AGGUAUAUGACAGCAAGACUAAGCAAACUUGUAAUUGAAUGUAAUGACAAGAUAAAAUGAAGAGGUUUUAGACCUCCAAAUAAAGGUAAUUUCUCUUAGAUUAAGGAAGGUGACUUGGCUAAAAGCCCGAAAGGAGUUCCCUUAAAACAACCAUUACAAUUUGUGAAGACUGUAAAUACAACAAAUAAGCAUCUGCAUUACCGAUCAAUUUCCUGAUCUUGUUUUUUUGUGCUAUUAGGUUACUUGGAAGAUCGACGUCCAGCUUCAAACAUGGACCCU
rnacentral:misc_RNA from 1 species